rnacentral:rRNA from 1 species
AUAUCAAUAAGCGGAGGAAAAGAAACCAACAGGGAUUACCUCAGUAACGGCGAGUGAAGCGGUAACAGCUCAAAUUUGAAAGCUACCAACAGGUCGCAUUGUAAUUUGUAGAAGAUGCUUUGGGUGUUGGCCUAGUCUAAGUUCCUUGGAACAGGACGUCAUAGAGGGUGAGAAUCCCGUAUGUGAUUAGUGCCAUCCCCCGUGUAAAGCUCUUUCGACGAGUCGAGUUGUUUGGGAAUGCAGCUCAAAAUGGGUGGUAAAUUUCAUCUAAAGCUAAAUAUUGGCCAGAGACCGAUAGCGCACAAGUAGAGUGAUCGAAAGAUGAAAAGCACUUUGGAAAGAGAGUUAAACAGUAC